UCUUCCGUGGCGCAAUUGGCUAGCGCGUCUGACUGUUAUGUCUACAUGCAAUCAGGAGGUUGACAGUUCAAGCCUGUCCGGGAGAG